rnacentral:lncRNA from 1 species
AAAGCUUACUUAGACCCAUCUUGAACCCUUGAAACCAUAUAUCUGCCUUAUCCUCUAAAUGCAUUUCUAUCAUAUCGAACCAUUGUUCCUCUGCCACAUGAUAUAUCUGAAAGUAUUUGAUACAUUUCCUCAGCCAUUCUCGAGGAUUUUCCCCUCUGAACAGAGGAAAUUCCACCUUAGGGAAAGGGCCAUGAAAAUUCUUCCUUACUCCACGUUCUUGAUGGGGCUCAUCCAACCAAAUUACGUUCCGAUUACCCGAUCGAUUUGGAGACUUCUCUGCGUUACUGCCGGGACCCAAAAUUCCCUUAUCUCCAUUGAUGGUUCGCAUGAGAUUGCCAUAUUGAGUCG